rnacentral:rRNA from 1 species
CAGGCCUAACCAUGCAAGUCGAACGAGAAACUCCGAGCUUGCUCGGAGGAGUAAAGUGGGAACGGGUGAGUAACGCGUGGGUAACCUGCCCUUAAAUCCGGGAUAAUCACCGAAAGAUGGCCUAAUACCGGAUGUCGUCCUGAGAACCACGGUUUUAGGAUGAAAGCUGACCUCUUCAUGAAAGUUGGCGUUUAGGGAGGGGCUCGGUACCAUUAGCUUGUUGGUAGGGUAAUGGCCUACCGAGGCUACGAUGGUAGCUGGUCUGAGAAGAUGAUCAGCCACACUGGAACUGGAACACGGUCCAACUCCUACGGGAGGCAGCAGUGAGGAAUCUUGCGCAAUGGGGGAAACCCGACGCAGCGACGCCGCGUGAGUGAAGAAGGCCUUCGGGUCGUAAAGCUCGUCAAGUGGGAAUAAAAUCCAGCGGUGAAUAGCCGUAAGGAUCUGAAGGACCACUAGAGGAAGCACCGGCUAACUCCGUGCCAGCAGCCGCGGUAAU